rnacentral:rRNA from 1 species
ACGGAAGGCAGCAGUGAGGAAUAUUGGUCAAUGGGCGGAAGCCUGAACCAGCCAAGUCGCGUGAGGGAAGAAGGUCCUAUGGGUCGUAAACCGCUUUUGUACGGGGAUAAAGUCACCCACGUGUGGGUGUUUGUAGGUACCGUAAGAAUAAGGAUCGGCUAACUCCGUGCCAGCAGCCGCGGUAAUACGGAGGAUCCGAGCGUUAUCCGGAUUUAUUGGGUUUAAAGGGUGCGCAGGCGGGCUGCUAAGUCUCCGGUGAAAUGUCAGGGCUCAACCUUGGCACUGCCGGAGAUACUGGCGGCCUUGAGAGUGGCGGAGGUAUCCGGAAUGUGUGGUGUAGCGGUGAAAUGCAUAGAUAUCACACAGAACACCGAUUGCGAAGGCAGGCGACGAUACCAUGUCUGACGCUCAGGCACGAAAGCGUGGGGAUCGAACAGGAUUAGAUACCCUGGUA